rnacentral:rRNA from 1 species
UACGUAGGGGGCAAGCGUUGUCCGAAUUUAUUGGGCGUAAAGCGCACGCAGGCGGUCUGUUCAGUUUGGAGUGACAGUUCCUGGCUCAACCGGGAAAGUGCUUCGAAUACUGGCGGACUUGAGGGCUUCAGAGGGACACGGAAUUCCGGGUGGAGUGGUGAAAUGCGUAGAGAUCCGGAGGAACACCAAAGGCGAAGGCAGUGUCCUGGGGAGUACCUGACGCUCAGGUGCGAAAGCCAGGGGAGCGAACGGG